GCAAUAUGCUAGUUUCAAAUAUAUAAAUAUUGGUAUUUUGUCAAAUAUCACUCACCCACCCUGAUGUAGAAAACAAAGAAACUCAAAGGGGAAGAGAAACAAAUCUUAAAUUUUCUAUUAAUUCUCUAUUGUCAAUAUCCAUAAUAAUAAAAAAAAUGCCUAGAUGACAUAGAUAUUUAUAGUAUAAUAACUACUCUUACUAUUACUAGGAUUAGGAAUCUCAAAAUAAGAAAUAUUAUACCAAUCUAACCAUGAAUAUAAAACCAACACUAAGAAAUUCUAAAAAAGUAAAAUGGUGCUUCCUAAUUAAAUUUCCUAAAUAAUAGAAAUCUAAACUUCCACAUUACAAUAUAAAAUCUGAAUGAAAGAUCUUAAUUGUCCAAUUAAAUAUUAAAAACAAUAAUUCUUAAUUCUUGUUUUUCUUUACUGCAUCAAAUGGCUAGAUCAAACACAGAAUCUUUUUGAUAUAUUGACCAUUAACUGGUUUUGAAAUAUUGAUCAUCAUGAAAUGGCAGCUUG
rnacentral:misc_RNA from 1 species